rnacentral:snRNA from 1 species
AUAAAUAAAUAUAAAAUAAUAAUAAUGAUAAUGAUGAUAGUACUUGCAAGGGAGGCUUACCAUUGUACUACAGAUGUGCUGACACUUGUGAUUUCCCUAGAUAUGGAAAGCUCAAUUUGUUGUAGCAGGGGACUGAAUUCAAGGUCUCCCUUU